rnacentral:rRNA from 1 species
ACGAACGCUGGCGGCAUGCCUAACACAUGCAAGUCGAACGAUGGUCUUCGGAUCAUAGUGGCGCACGGGUGCGUAACGCGUGGGAAUCUGCCCUUGGGUUCGGAAUAACAGUUGGAAACGACUGCUAAUACCGGAUGAUGUCGAUAAGACCAAAGAUUUAUCGCCCGAGGAUGAGCCCGCGUCGGAUUAGCUAGUUGGUGGGGUAAAGGCCUACCAAGGCGACGAUCCGUAGCUGGUCUGAGAGGAUGAUCGGCCACACUGGGACUGAGACACGGCCCAGACUCCUACGGGAAGCAGCAGUGGGGAAUAUUGGACAAUGGGCGCAAGCCUGAUCCAGCAAUGCCGCGUGAGUGAUGAAGGCCUUAGGGUUGUAAAGCUCUUUUACCCGGGAAGAUAAUGACUGUACCGGGAGAAUAAGCCCCGGCUAACUCCGUG